UUUUUUUUGUAAAAAAUAAAUAACUAAAUAAAAUGCCUGUAAGAAGAAAAGAGUAGAGCCAACAACAACUAAAUGGGCAUGUUUGUUACUGGCGUUGUUGUAUUUUGAUUAUUCUUUCUUAUUUGUUCUGUUUCUUUCUUAAGCUGAAUAAUAUUUGAAGAUUUCAACUGAAAAAAUCCCUUUCAGUUCACCCAACUGUGAUGCACAUUUGAAUUGUCUCGGAAAAUGCAUAUACAUUUUGGAAUUAUGUUCCCUUACACCUGCUAAGUAAAUUAUCUUUUUUUUCCCUUAAGAUUUUAAUUAGGUUUUAGAUUAACUGUUCUAUUCUUUCUGGACAAAAAUGAUUAGCAAUUUUAGUUGAGUUACUAAUCUGAAAUCACUUAAGACAUAUUCUUUAACUUAAUGUAUAAAUGCAUGUCUUAACAAUCAAAAACAAUUAAUUAGGUUAACAAUAGCCUGAAAUUCGUUCCCACCCUUACCUCAAUACCUUUUUUCACAGAAGACAUUUUGACAUGUCACUGUAGGAAAAGAACAUAUAUAAAUGUUAAAAUUAAUGAUGGCUGAACAUAACAUAACAUAGAUCAAGAUCUAUGCUAUAGGCCAUUAAAAGUUCUGUUUUGUUACUUGAUGUGAAUUCUUGUUUUAGCAUACAGAUCUAUCAAUACUGAUGUUUUAACCACUAAUCAAAAGUAUGAUCAACCCCUAAACCUGAGACAAGAAUUUAUCAGUAGUGACCCACUACAUUUGUGUUAUUGAUUGAACAUUAGUUGUAAUUUGGUACGAUAAUUGCCACUGAUGUAAGUUGUUUGCACUUCAGGGAAUGUCUGCCAGGAAAUGCCUAUCUUUUCAGCAACGAACAUAAAUCAGUGAGCAUUUAUAGACACGUGAAUGUUUUUAUCCUCUCCACAAAAGUCAUAAUCAAUCUUCUCUUUUCUCUAUGUAUGCUGAUGAAAUGUCAGUAAAUUACUCCCAAAGCACCGGCUGAGGUUGGCCUAUGAUCACUGUUUUAAACCUGUCUGCAGCUGCUUAUCAAAGGUCAUGCCAUUAAGUUAAUGAUUGUCUGUCAGAAAUAUUUACUUUUUAAAAUGGAGCUGUGCUUUGGUUUGUCUUGAAACAUGGGGAUCGGAAGAGAAAGUAUAUCGCUAAAUAAUCUCUUUUUUGCAUCUUAUUUGAUAUUUCAAAGCUGAUACUAUAUUGAAUUGUGUAUCUAUAAUUUUAGACUGAAUAAUAUGUUGAUCUAAUUGACAAGUCAGACAUUAAAGCAUUGUUCACUUUGUUGAAAAGAUGUCAACACUCUUGCAAGAAAUUAGUUUCCAGCUACUGUUUUCUUCCCUGUGGAACAUCAAUGUCCCCCAGUCCUCUAGUGUUUAUGUGAUAGGUAAUGUUGACCAUAUAAAAUUGAGGUGUAUUCUUCACAUACAUAAUUAAUGUAUUUUAAUUAUAGAUGGGCAACAUUCUGUGCGUUUCUAAACGGAUUUACAAAAUAUGCCUUUCAAUAUGUUUACAAAAAAUUAUCAGGUAUAAACAACCAUUUAACAGCGUCAUUAAUUAUUAAUUGCAAAUAUGUGGUGGGUAAUGUUGAGGUAGAGCAGGUAAAAACCCUUGCAAACAGUUCACAGUCACAGAAAUGCAUCACAAUUGAUAAUUUCACCUCUGUGAUAAUAAUGACAGAAAUUAUCUGUAUCUAUCUACUGUGUCUCUUAAUUGUUUAGUCAUCUGUACACAAUGUUAACUUACAAAAUACUGUCAAUAGAGUAGCGCGAUUGUAUCUUUGAUGAUUGCAUAUUAAAUAGAUCUUGAUAAAACAAUAAACAAAUAAACCUGCACUGGCUUUGUAAUUUUAUUUGACCUCAUUAUUGUAGAAUAAGUUUUGUUGUGAACUGUUAAUGCAAAUUUUAACGAAUAUACAAAUAAAGAGGAUUUAAGUUUUGCAUGUAUGUGUGUGUACUGUAAUCUUAAAAAUACGAUGUUUAAUAUUGUAUUCAAUGAUAUGCUAUAAUGACCCAUGUAUACCACAAUUAAUCAGUAGUCAAAUAAUUUGAAAUAUUCUUAUGAAAGCUUGUAUUAAUCAUUUCACCUGACUUUGUGAGUCUGUACCCACAAACAUCCCAAACAUUUUGCAACAUAUAGCAAUAUAUUGGGGUAAGGUAACUUUUUCAUUUAUUCAUGUUUUAAUGCAUACAGUUAACAUUGUGACCCUCUUACAUUAUUGGCAAUGUUGAGAAUUCUGGUUGUAUCUUAUUGUUUGUUAUAGGUAACACUUUCUCUCAUCAGGUCAAAAUAACUAAUAUGACAAAAUAACCUAACAUUGUCCACAAUAUCAAAUGAGAAAAAAAAUCUCCAAAGACAUCCAUUUUAUAUUUAUGAUAUUGUUUCCAUAGAGUAAUAUAAUGCUGUGAUAUACUGCUCUUAAUGUUUAAUUGAGGUACAUCAAGCCUUUAAUGGUGCUUCAUUUGUCAGGCAUCUGUGUAAAUUAAAGGAUUAAAUGUACUUUGCUAUUCCAAAUACAAAAACCUUUCAAAUAUUGUGCAGCUAUCUGAAAAAGACAUGACAAGAAAUCCUAUUUGAUAAGUUUGUUAUGGUAAACAGACCAGAAACACAUCAUAAAUUAAUGUUAUAGAAUAUAAUUUAACAAAUGCAUUAGAGUAGAUAGUCAAGUGGAUAUCUAUAGGCUAUUUCUCAAAUAUUUUUGUUUUAAAAGUAUGCAGGAAAACAUAAGCAAAAUCAGGUUGUAAAACUUUAUGGGCGUCUGUUCGUCUAACUAACAGUAUAUUUGUUUCCUUUUUUUAAUCCAAAUGAGGAAUAAUUAUGUGGUUCAUGUAUCUCACUGCCUCUACAUGCUUAUCAACAGUCCAAAUCAAGGGGUGAAACUUGAGAGCCGUACUUGGAGAGGAAGUAGUUGAUUUAUGCUAAUGAAGGAGUUGGGGUUUAGCUACGCUGGCUGGGAGCCGCCCUUCAUUCACCACAUGGUUAACCUAGACUCUACUCGCGCCACUUUCGCAAUCUUACUACGAUUCACAAACUCCUAGCAAAUCAUAAUAGUGGCACAUGGUUGUGUUUUUGGAUUAUACGUCCCAGCUGUUAUUCAAUUUGUGAAGUCUUUUUUUCUAAAUAUUUUCUCAGUUUUGCAGAUAUCCCUGAAACAGUGAGCAAACGGCCCCUGUGUACAGCCGUAUCACCUCCGGAAAACUCCUCAUUGUGGAUUUAAAGGCAUCCCAAUUCUUUCUGUGAAUGAAAACUCCCCUAUGAACAGUUUAAAGUCACUGUAGUGUCAAAGUGCUUACAGUGCAGGUAGUCAUAUAAAAUCUACUGCAGUGAAGGCACUUUCAGCACUAUUCUGAUAUGUGUAACUAAAGGCACCUGUUCAUUCACAGACAGGGCUGGUAUAUGCCAGUCCAGGAUGGGCUGAAUUUGAAUAAACAUCUGGCAGGACCUCAUCUUCAUCCUACUCUGAGGUUCACCGCCCCCACUGUUUCCUAGCAAUCUAAGAGCCAGUCUCCUCCUAUCAAACAUGGCUGAUAUUUCAUGCGUCCUGUCAUUGUGGGAAAUGAGAUUUCAGCCUUCAACAAUACAUGAAAUCAGUGUGACCACUGAGUGUUGCUGAGAGUUUUGUUUUCUCUUAAUUUAGCAAGUAACCACAGUUAAAUAUGGACCAAAGAAUGUUAAGUUGAACUUUGUUUAGUUUCAUUUUUGAUUGACUGUUAUGUCAAAUCAUUGUAAUAUGGGUAUUUGGCAUAACUGUGCGCUUGCGUGCCUUUUGCUAGUGCUUAUGCUAAGGUGCAUCUAGUGCAGAUAGUGAAGUAGACUAGCACCUACUGCCCUAAGUGCUCCUUCUGGCAUAAGGGGCUGGGACUCUCAUCUGCUCUGUAUUUGUGUGUGUAUGUGUGUGUGUGCAUAUAUAUGUACACUUUUCUUUGUGGCAGGUCUCUGUUAGUUUUGCAUAGUUGCGCUGCAAGAAGAAAUAAGUUGUGCAAAUCUAUGCAAAGCUGAUGGUGGCCUGUGUUUCCAUCUGAAUGCUUGUUAAUAUCAUUUUGUCCUCCAUUGUGGUCAAUCAGGUUUCAAUUACAGCUCGGUUAAUAAGAUACAUGCAGGUUUCAGUAGUAUUAAAGUGCUUAUAGUGCAGGUAGUUUUAUGAAAUUCUACUGCAGUGUGAGCACUUAAAGUACUUCUAGAUGCGUUUCCCUUCUUGGAGAACAGCAGAGGUAGCUUGUGCACAUGGGUCUCUGGUUAGUUUUGCUGGUUUGCUUUCAGCUUUUCACUGUAGUGCUGUGCAAAUCCAUGCAAAACUGAUCAUAGAACUGAAAUUAAUCUAUCGGAAGUGAUCCCUUUCUGUGCAGGUUGGGAGAGGUGGCAAUGCUCUGUAUUAGUUAGGUAUUGCACUUGUCCCGGCCUGUUGAGGACAUGGGGAAUUGCUCAUCCUGACAUCACCCUUGAUCUUUUCCGAUGUGCAAUUAUCUGGAACAAUCAAAUUGGCGAUUGUAGGUUACUUCAUUUUCUUUAGAGUUAAACCACAUCAUAUCUGACAUUUGAACAUGGUGUUGAUGUCUCAGGAAAUGCAUUUUUUAAUGUCCCUUUUGAACAGUGUGGGUAAAUAGUCGUGUCAACCACGGUUAAUGUUUGAUGACUCUUCCAUUUUUAUAAUAAACUUCCAUUGGCUCACUGA